AAGAAACUACACCACAUCCAGGCAGGAUUUAGAGAUUGGUAUACUGGCUGAAGUCCCCAUUUCCCUACUGGCUUUCACCAUGGCAUUGGAGGCUCCUGUUCUCACACCACUGAGACAAGAUGGCUACCUGCCCUCUAUCCCCACCGGUAACCAGCGGCUUCUUCUAGGAACAGGAGAACCGCUUCUGAUCUCUCAGUCUUUCUGAAUGUGUGUAUCUUCGCCAACCUGCGUUCAUCUUUUAAGAAAAAUACCUCUGGACUGUUCGAUUCCUCUCUUUGUGACCUGUUGUUCUUUGACUGUCUGCUACCCAUAACAUGCUAUCAGACGUGUAGCCAAUUAACGUUUUUAAUUUCACCCCUGAAAUGUUUGUUUUCAAGCUUCAUUUCAUUGAACAGGAAACGUGUGCCAUCACAUCACUGUGCAAAUGUGGACUCUAGUUAAGGGGAUCUCACUUUCUCUGAUCUCAACUCACACAUGCUGACUGACUCGGCCGAGUGCUGAAGUAGCCAUUGUUUCUGUGUCCUCCUUAACCCCAUUCAAGGUCAGGAAAAAAUUUAAGUCUGCUAACGUAGAUAGCAGAGACCGCCUCAUAUGUUUCAACCAAAAUCUAUUUCUGUUCAAGAAGACAAGCAACUCCAAGCUGAAAUUCUCUCCUACUUUAUUGUAAUUCAAGUGUGUGCAGUGUGACAUGAUCAUAACUUUAGCCACUGACAGUCUCUGGCAGCCUCACCAGCUCAGUGGAUAUACCCCUUUGUCUCAGAAGCACAGUGGAGAUACCCCUUUGUCUCAGAGACGCAGUGGAGAUGCCCCUUUGUCUCACAGACGCAGUGGAGAUACCCCUUUGUUGCCCCUCUGUCACUGUUGCUCGUUAGUCAUCCAGUAGAUCAUUGGGCAUCGCUCUCUGCCACCAAGCUAAAGUCAAUUAUAAUGUGCUCUGGCCACGUGUGAUAGGACCAUAUUGGGGUUGACUUAGGGGUCAAUCUGCUGCAUACGUACUAUUUAUCAAGAUGUAAAAAUAUGCAUAUGUCAAUGCUGUUUAUUUAUUUAUUGUUUGUUUGUAAAUAUGUUUUCAUUUUAACUGGUUAUCGCCGACAUAUUUAUUGACAUUGUGCUCUGCUACCAAAACAAAUAGUUGUACAUGAAAUCCUUUUCCUUUGCAUAAUUUUAAAAGUGAUCUGAUGUUUUGUGUUUUUGUCAUUUGCUAACUGCUUUAUUUCUCGUGUUGUAAGAUUGUGAAUCAGACCUAUCAGCGGACGUCCAAGCCACUAGUAGCACAACAAGAGCUAACUUCUUUCUUUUGGUUUCACCUGUACUGCUGUUCAUGAAUAUGUCUUUAAACAUUCAAACGGUUUGGUUUACCAUGAUGUGAGCAGUUAUUUAUGUUUAAGUAAAGAACAUAUAGUUCCUGCAACAAACCUCUCAGUACAUUUUCACUUGCUUUUCCCUCCUGGCAAUCGCGCACAGAUAUACACACUGACCUGCACACACACACACCCACACACACACUGACAUGCACACACACACAGACAGCCAUCUGGGCUCUUACAGACAGAAAUG
ensembl:lncRNA